rnacentral:rRNA from 1 species
GUGAACGCUGGCGGUAGGCCUAACACCUGCAGGUCGAACGGCAGCACAGUAAGAGCUUGCUCUUCCGGGUGGAGAGUGGCGGACUGGUGAGGAAUACAUCGGAAUCUACUUUUUCGUGGGGGAUAACGUAGGGAAACUUACGCUAAUACCGCAUACGACCUACGGGUGAAAGCAGGGGAUCUUCGGACCUUGCGCGUUUGAAUGAGCCGAUGUCGGAUUAGCUAGUUGGCGGGGUAAAGGCCCACCAAGGCGACGAUCCGUAGCUGGUCUGAGAGGAUGAUCAGCCACACUGGAACUGAGACACGGUCCAGACUCCUACGGGAGGCAGCAGUGGGGAAUAUUGGACAAUGGGCGCAAGCCUGAUCCAGCCAUACCGCGUGGGUGAAGAAGGCCUUCGGGUUGUAAAGCCCUUUUGUUGGGAAAGAAAAGCAGCAGGUUAAUACCCCGCUGUUCUGACGGUACCCAAAGAAUAAGCACCGGCUAACUUCGUG